UCUACUCCUUUAACAGUCAGACCCAGGCACA
rnacentral:piRNA from 1 species